rnacentral:rRNA from 1 species
AUACAGAGGGUGCAAGCGUUGUUCGGAAUUAUUGGGCGUAAAGCGCGUGUAGGCGGCGUGACAAGUCGGGUGUGAAAGCCCUCAGCUCAACUGAGGAAGUGCGCCCGAAACUGUCGUGCUUGAGUGCCGGAGAGGGUGGCGGAAUUCCCCAAGUAGAGGUGAAAUUCGUAGAUAUGGGGAGGAACACCGGUGGCGAAGGCGGCCACCUGGACGGUAACUGACGCUGAGACGCGAAAGCGUGGGGAGCAAACAGGAUUAGAUACCCUGGUAGUCCACGCCGUAAACGAUGAGAACUAGGUGUCGUGGGAGUUGACCCCCGCGGUGCCGAAGCUAACGCAUUAAGUUCUCCGCCUGGGAAGUACGGUCGCAAGACUAA